rnacentral:lncRNA from 1 species
AUGCCCAUUUCUUCUCAGAGUCAGAGAUCAGUGCUUUCUUGGCAUCAUCUAAGGAAACAGAGAGAGAUGCUAGCUGGAUGGAUGACUGCAGAAGACAGUUCUGCAAGAUCAUGGCUACAAACACUCUCACUGGAUAUGUACUUGCUGAUCUUUUGGAGAGGGUCGUGCUGCAUCUCUCAUCUUCAUCCACUGACUGCUUCUUUCCACCGGCAGAAUAUAAAGGUCAGUCAACAGCACUUUAAUGAAAGGAUUUUUUUUAUUCAUGAGACCAACUUGCAAACAGCUAACAGAGAUAUCAUUCACUUCUGAGGGCUAAUAUGAAAUAAUAAUAAUAAAAAGCACACGGGUAUAUAUGAAUAUACUUUUGUGUGUCAUAAUCCUGCUUCUUAUAACUAUACAUUAAACAUGACAUUUUUUCUGAUUGGAUGUGAUUGUGAUAGAAACAUUUCUGCGUGAAACUUUCUGCAUCCCACCUGGUUAGUUCACAAUGGUAUGCUCCUUGUAAAAAUGCAAACAGAAUCAUUUAUAAAAUGGGCGAAUAGUUGAGACUCUGUGGGGUAUUCAUUAUUAAACAUAUAUGGUUCUCAGAAAUAAUAUUGAUCAUGCUCUUUUGUUUAAAUCCCAGCUGCAAAGAAUAUCUGCUGGCUUGAGCUUGAGUAAUGUGACCACUUUAAAAGAAAGAUUUGACAAAAUUCACCCUCGUCUCAACAUAUUAUUGUUGCAAUGUAUGAUUAUUUUGCUUUGUAUUUUAAAAUGAAUCCAUUUAAAUCCAUCAAACAUCUUUCAAAACAUAAGAUUUUCUUUUUAAUGUCAGAGAGUUAAAGUUUUCAUACUUUAAAAGACCUUGAUAAGUCAUUUUUAAGGAUGGUGAGGGUCAGGGGUCAGUUAGCUCUGGAGAUUAUUAGUGGUUUGGGUUCUGGCAAGCUCAUGAUUAAUUUGAUGACAAGCAUCUCCUUUAAUUUAUGAAGUUGGAGACUAUGCUUUAGUACUUUUUUAAAUACUUUUUUAUUAAUAUUGAUUAAAUAUUGAUUUCACUGUAGAAAGAAGACAUAAAGUGCAGCUUCUGGGUAAAGGUUUGAAUGAUAGAUUAAUUGGUGAGAAUUUGCAAAAAUUAAUCAGACUUCUGAAUGCUUCCCAAACUUCCCAAAUAGGAUAUAUGUAUGGAUGCCUGACAUGGAAAGUAUUAUGGUGUCAUGUUACUGUAGCAUUUGUGUCCUCCCUUCAUCUGCCUCUGGGUCUGUAUCCUGCCCUCUUAUUUAGCGGAGGAGCAGGGGCGGGUUGUCACACUUCAUUUCACUUCAUGUCAUAAUUGCUGACUGACGUGAGCACCAGGACGUAUGAUUUCUCAUUCUGCCUAAACCCUUCUUUACAGUUGGUUGAUUUGCCAGCCAGUCAAGUCCAGUCACUUCACAAGGUGCACAUCUAUCUGCAUUAUGUCAUCAUUACAAUCCUGACAUUGUUGUUAUAUUAAUGAGGAUGGAGGAAUGGCCCCAUAAUUAUAUCAGUGGGCCCAUUUCCGUCUCACCAAGGGCAUUCACUCAAUUAAGGCCAUUCUUAAGCAUGAUGAAUGUAGAUUACGCAGCUGAUGUUGAUUUGUGGGUAAGCCGAUGCUGAGAUGAAAAUGUAUUAUUUAACAGCACGUUUUGCAGUGCUCUUUUGCACUCUCUGCUCCAUUUACCCAAAUUAAAUGGGUAUUUGAAGAGGAGGUGCAAAUGGGAAGUAAUUUCUUUUCUUUUUUUUCUUUUUGUUUCAGUGGUGGACCACAGUGUAAAGACUCGAAGCCUGUCAUCUGUGGAGCAGUUAGGUGUGGGGAUAUCCCUCAGGUAAUACAGUAUAUAUGUCAUAUCCAGGCUAAACUUUAUGCUAGGCUAAGGGUUUGUGAAUCAACUUUUAAGUGCUUUGUUAAGACACUAAUGUAUACUAAAAUAUAUACUGUAUACAGGGUCUUAAAGUCUUCUCUCCACAAAUGAAGGCCUUAAAAAUGUCAUACACUGAAGCUGAAAGUCUUAAUUCACAGUCAUAGCAUGCAGUGCAUGCAUAAAAAAUAAAAAAAUAAAAUUGAACAGAAUGAAGUGUGUUUAUGCUUAAAACAAGAAGAAAUAUGUGUCAAUUAGGAAGGAAAAUGUUUUCUUUUUAAAUUGUUCACUAGCCCAUUGGCAGAUAUUUGUUCUUAGUUUAAUGAUAAACUUUAUUUUAUUUUAUUUUAUUUUUUAUUUUAAUUUAUACUUUAUCACUUUAUUUUGAUCAAUUGCUCAGAAAUUAGACUUCUUAUCUAAUGUUGUUUUGUUUUGAAAUGAAUGUCUUAAUUUAUAAAUCUCUUGACAUUUGCAUUGGAAAACAAGGCAAAAACACUGAGGAAGAACAGUGCUUUU